UACAGAGGUCUCAAGCGUUGUUCGGAUUUAUUGGGCGUAAAGAGCGUGUAGGCGGCCAGGUAGGUCUGCUGUGAAAACUCGAGGCUUAACCUCGAGCUGUCGGCGGAAACCAUCUGGCUAGAGUCCGGAAGAGGAGAAUGGAAUUCCCGGUGUAGCGGUGAAAUGCGCAGAUAUCAGGAGGAACACCGGUGGCGAAGGCGGGUCUCUGGAACGCAACUGACGCUGAGACGCGAAAGCGUGGGGAGCAAACAGG
rnacentral:rRNA from 1 species